CCCCUUUCAAACCGGCAUCUUACGCCCUAUAUGUGAUCUGUCCUUCGGGACUAUGGACAUAAACGCGCUCGUAAUAAGCGGAUCGGACCCGGGGGCGGUACCCGGCGACUCCACCAACACCCGUUCAUUUGGCGGCUUUGGGGUCGAAAUAGGAUCGACGAACGUCUAAAGGGGUUAGCUUUGUCUCGGCUGUCUGCCACCGUUAUCGGCGAAAUCAAGCUAGUUGCAAAUGACAACAAAGCUCCGAUGGCUCUGGCCGCGUAAGCGGUUCGAUCUAUCGAAAUCUUAAGCCCUGUCGCCUAGCAGCGGCAGGCGGGGCCCGCCGGAGCCGGCAACAGAAUCCGGCACU
rnacentral:tmRNA from 1 species